CAGUAGCCGCGGUAAUACGAAGGGUGCAAGCGUUACUCGGAAUUACUGGACGUAAAGCGUGCGUAGGUGGUGGUUUAAGUCCGUUGUGAAAGCCCUGGGCUCAACCUGGGAAUUGCAGUGGAUACUGGGUCACUAGAGUGUGGUAGAGGAUAGUGGAAUUUCCGGUGUAGCAGUGAAAUGCGUAGAGAUCGGAAGGAACAUCUGUGGCGAAGGCGACUAUCUGGGCCAACACUGACACUGAGGCACGAAAGCGUGGGGAGCAAACAGGAUUAGAUACCCCCGUAGUCCCUGUCUCUUAUAC
rnacentral:rRNA from 1 species